rnacentral:rRNA from 1 species
ACGGCUCAGUAACACGUGGCUAAUCUGCCCUUAGGACGAGAACAACCCCGGGAAACUGGGGCUAAUUCUCGAUAGGCGAAGAACUCUGGAAUGAGUCUUCACCCAAAAAGCUUCACGUUAUGCGCGUGGAGUCGCCUAAGGAUGAGGCCGCGACCGAUCAGGUUGUUGGUGAGGUAAUGGCUCACCAAGCCUUUUACCGGUGCGGGCCGUGAGAGCGGGAGCCCGGAGAUGGGCACUGAGACAAGGGCCCAGGCCCUACGGGGCGCAGCAGUCGCGAAAACUUUGCAAUACACGAAAGUGUGACAGGGCUAUCCCGAGUGCCAUCCGCUGAGGAAGGCUUUUACCCAGUCUAGAACGCUGGGGGAAUAAGGAGAGGGCAAGUCUGGUGUCAGCCGCCGCGGUAAUACCAGCUCUCCGAGUGGUGUGGAUGUUUAUUGGGCCUAAAGCAUCCGUAGCUGGCUAAGUUAGUCCCUUGUUAAAUCCACCGAAUUAAUCGUUGGAUUGCGGGGGAUACUGCUUGGCUAGGGGACGAGAGAGGCAGACGGUAUUCCCGGGGUAGGGGUGAAAUCCUAUAAUCCCGAGAAGACCACCAGUGGCGAAGGCUGUCUGCUAGAACGCGCCCGACGGUGAGGGAUGAAAGCUGGGGGAGCGAACCGGAUUAGAUACCCGGGUAGUCCCAGCUGUAAACGAUGCAGGCUAGGUGUUUGGACGGCCACGUGCCGUUCUAGUGCCGCAGGGAAGCUGUUAAGCCUGCCGCCUGGGGAGUACGAUCGCAAGAUUGAAACUUAAAGGAAUUGGCGGGGGAGCAC